UAUGUGAUCGUCUCUCGCAUAUCAAUAAGCGGAGGAAAAGAAACUAACAAGGAUUCCCCUAGUAACGGCGAGUGAAGCGGGAAGAGCUCAAAUUUGAAAUCUUAAAGGGUUUCCCUUUACGAAUUGUAGUUUAAAGAAGUGUUUUCUGUUGAGGUUUUGGUAAAAGUUCUUUGGAAUAGGACAUCAUAGAGGGUGAGAAUCCCGUAUUUGACCUUUACUUUCAACUUUGUGAUACACUUUCAAAGAGUCGGAUUGUUUGGGAAUGCAGUCCAAAAUGGGUGGUAAAUUUCAUCUAAAGCUAAAUAUUGGCGAGAGACCGAUAGCGAACAAGUACCGUGAGGGAAAGAUGAAAAGAACUUUGAAAAGAGAGUUAAACAGUACGUGAAAUUGUCAAAAGGGAAGCGUUUGACACCAGUGUUGUUUUUCUGAAAAUCAAUUAAAGAACUGUUUAUGCUAAGUUGUUUAGACUUUAUCAGCUAACUGUUUAGUUUUGAGCUUUUCUUUAAUGCACUUUUCAGUUAACAAGUCAACAUCAAUUUCUUUUGCUGUAAAAAAGCUUGAGGAAGGUGGCUUGAGAUUCGUCUUAAGUGUUUAUAGCCUCUUGCCUAUGCAGUCGGAGAGAUUGAGGUCUGCAGCGUAGAUCCUUCGGGGCUAAAUGCAUUUGUGCUAAGUUAUAGCAUUUUAUAGACAACUUGUUGACUAUGAUUUGUCUUGUAGCUUACUCGCUUAUGUUAUUUUACCUACGCUUAGGAUGUUGAAGAUAUGCGCGACACG
rnacentral:rRNA from 1 species